rnacentral:rRNA from 1 species
CAGUCGCCGCGGGAAUACAGAGGGUGCUAGCGUUAAUCGGAUUUACUGGGCGUAAAGCGUGCGUAGGCGGCUUCUUAAGUCGGAUGUGAAAUCCCUGAGCUUAACUUAGGAAUUGCAUUCGAUACUGGGAAGCUAGAGUAUGGGAGAGGAUGGUAGAAUUCCAGGUGUAGCGGUGAAAUGCGUAGAGAUCUGGAGGAAUACCGAUGGCGAAGGCAGCCAUCUGGCCUAAUACUGACGCUGAGGUACGAAAGCAUGGGGAGCAAACAGGAUUAGAUACCUCUGUAGUCCCUGUCUCUUAUAC